UUACCUCUGACAAAACUAUGCAGGAUGCUAAUGCUGGGGUCCAUAUAUCGCAGUUAGAUAAAGAAGGAAGUAUCUCCUCUAUAAUACCAGGUAAAGUCUCACAGACCCCUGGCCCUCGCUCCAGUGCCUUGCAAUCUGGUCAGGAAGGUAGAAUUCCUAUUGUUCGUGAAAAAGUGUCAGAAGAUGGAUAUCAUUGGCGAAAAUAUGGGCAAAAACUUGUUAAAGGAAAUGAGUUCAUUCGGAGCUAUUACAAAUGUACACA
rnacentral:misc_RNA from 1 species